CCUUCGAUAGCUCAGUUGGUAGAGCGGUGGACUGUAGAAGAGGAAUAUAUGAAAAGAGAGAAAUCCAUAGGUCGCUGGUUCAAAUCCGGCUCGAAGGA
rfam:Anopheles melas strain CM1001059_A cont2.9198, whole genome shotgun sequence.